rnacentral:rRNA from 1 species
UACGAAGGGGGCUAGCGUUGCUCGGAAUCACUGGGCGUAAAGGGUGCGUAGGCGGGUCUUUAAGUCAGGGGUGAAAUCCUGGAGCUCAACUCCAGAACUGCCUUUGAUACUGAAGAUCUUGAGUUCGGGAGAGGUGAGUGGAACUGCGAGUGUAGAGGUGAAAUUCGUAGAUAUUCGCAAGAACACCAGUGGCGAAGGCGGCUCACUGGCCCGAUACUGACGCUGAGGCUCGAAAGCGUGGGGAGCGAACAGG